rnacentral:lncRNA from 1 species
AGACACAGAGGUAGAAGAAGCAAGGAGACUGAAACUAUGGCAGCCACACCACAAGCAGCUGCUACACUUCUGCAACCCACCAAGGCAGGAGGGAUGCCUUCCAGGACCAGCAGCCUCCAGCUCAGGUCUACCCAGACUGUGUCAAAGGCUUUUGGGUUGGACCCCAGUAAUGCUAGGAUCACUUGCUCCUUGCAAUCUGACCUUAAGGACUUGGCUCAAAAGUGUGUUGAUGCUACUAAGCUUGCUGGAUUUGCUCUUGCUACUUCUGCUCUUGUGGUUUCGGUACACUUCUUUUUUCCCCUUAGCCCAUUAAUUCUCUAACUAUAUCUGCUUCGACAUAAUUAAUCAGCACGAUCACAUUCUUUUGGACAGAAUUAUGUCCCUCAUCUGUAUAUUUUUUCAUAGCUAAGAGUGAAGAGACCUCGAGUUCGAUAUUUUCAUUUAUCUAAUUAGUAUCUUAGAUCAGCUUCUCGGAGGUUGUGCUUGAGAAAACUGUAUGCAACUGUCUAAAGUCUCUGGCUAAGACCCUUAAUUAACCAGAAGAAGGUUGAUUAGUGAUUAACAGGCGAGCCCUGUUGUAACCACUUAGAUUUUUUCCAGGGAGCAAGUGCUGAAGGAGUCCCAAAGAGGCUAACCUAUGAUGAAAUUCAAAGCAAGACAUAUCUGGAAGUAAAGGGAACUGGAACUGCAAACCAAUGCCCAACAAUUGCAAGUGGAGUAGACAAAUUUGCCUUCAAACCUGGCAAAUACAAUGCCAAGAAAUUCUGCCUAGAGCCAACUUCAUUCACAGUCAAGGCAGAAGGUGUAAACAAGAAUGCUCCACCAGAGUUCCAGAACACUAAGCUCAUGACACGCUUGACCUACACUCUCGACGAAAUGGAGGGACCUUUCGAAGUCUCCCCUGAUGGAACAGUGAAGUUUGAGGAGAAAGAUGGAAUAGAUUAUGCUGCUGUAACUGUGCAGCUUCCUGGUGGUGAACGUGUCCCUUUUCUUUUCAC